AAAGGGGAGCUUGGUUCAACCUUGCUGAGAGUAGACUAUUGUGUCUUGACCCAUAACCUGAUUUGGAUAAUGCCAACGUAGGGAAACUGUUC
rnacentral:ncRNA from 1 species